rnacentral:tRNA from 1 species
CUCCGGAUGGCUGAGGACGGCGUACUGCGUGUCGGGCAGCACGACCAGCGUCCAGUCGCCGUCCGGCGC